AUACCUUUCUCGGCCUUUUGGCUAAGAUAAGUGUAGUAUCUGUCCUUAUCAGUUUAAUAUCUUAUAUGUGAGGCCUCGUUAUCACAACGAUAUUAAUUUUUUUUUGGGGGGAAGGAUGAGUGUAGUGGCUUGCCACUUGGAUCCUUAAGUGUCGCCUAGGCGUUGCACUAUAGCUAGGCUCGGCGCACCCCAA